rnacentral:rRNA from 1 species
GGGUUGUGAGGUUAAGCGACUAAGCGUACACGGUGGAUGCCCUGGCAGUCAGAGGCGAUGAAGGGCGUGCUAAUCUGCGAUAAGCGCCGGUAAGGUGAUAUGAACCGUUAUAACCGGCGAUACCCGAAUGGGGAAACCCAGUGUGACUCGUCACACUAUCAUUAACUGAAUCCAUAGGUUAAUGAGGCGAACCGGGGGAACUGAAACAUCUAAGUACCCCGAGGAAAAGAAAUCAACCGAGAUUCCCCCAGUAGCGGCGAGCGAACGGGGAGGAGCCCAGAGCCUGAAUCAGCAUGUGUGUUAGUGGAAGCGUCUGGAAAGGCGCGCGAUACAGGGUGACAGCCCCGUACACAAAAGCGCAUGUGCUGUGAGCUCGAUGAGUAGGGCGGGACACGUGGUAUCCUGUCUGAAUAUGGGGGGACCAUCCUCCAAGGCUAAAUACUCCUGACUGACCGAUAGUGAACCAGUACCGUGAGGGAAAGGCGAAAAGAACCCCGGCGAGGGGAGUGAAAAAGAACCUGAAACCGUGUACGUACAAGCAGUGGGAGCACCCUUUUGGGUGUGACUGCGUACCUUUUGUAUAAUGGGUCAGCGACUUAUAUUCUGUAGCAAGGUUAACCGUAUAGGGGAGCCGUAGGGAAACC